rnacentral:rRNA from 1 species
UACGAGGGGGGCGAGCGUUGUUCGGAAUUAUUGGGCGUAAAGAGCUCGUAGGCGGCCUGUUGCGUCCGCUGUGAAAUCCCAGGGCUCAACCCUGGGCGUGCAGUGGAUACGGGCAGGCUGGAGGCAGGCAGGGGAGAACGGAAUUCCCGGUGUAGCGGUGAGAUGCGCAGAUAUCGGAAAGAACACCAACGGCGAAAGCACUCUGCUGGGCCGACACUGACACUGAGAGACGAAAGCUAGGGGAGCAAAUGGG